rnacentral:rRNA from 2 species
GGGUUGUGAGGUUAAGCGACUAAGCGUACACGGUGGAUGCCCUGGCAGUCAGAGGCGAUGAAGGACGUGCUAAUCUGCGAAAAGCGCCGGCGAGGUGAUAUGAACCUUUGACCCGGCGAUGUCCGAAUGGGGAAACCCAGUGCAAUCCGUUGCACUAUCGUUAACUGAAUACAUAGGUUAACGAGGCGAACCGGGGGAACUGAAACAUCUAAGUACCCCGAGGAAAAGAAAUCAACCGAGAUUCCCCCAGUAGCGGCGAGCGAACGGGGAGCAGCCCGGAGUCUGAAUCAGCUUGUGUGUUAGUGGAACGGUCUGGAAAGUCCGACGGUACAGGGUGAUAGUCCCGUACACGAAAGCACACAUGCUGUGAACUCGAAGAGUAGGGCGGGACACGUGGUAUCCUGUCUGAAUAUGGGGGGACCAUCCUCCAAGGCUAAAUACUCCUGACUGACCGAUAGUGAACCAGUACCGUGAGGGAAAGGCGAAAAGAACCCCGGCGAGGGGAGUGAAAAAGAACCUGAAACCGUGUACGUACAAGCAGUGGGAGCCUCUUUAUGGGGUGACUGCGUACCUUUUGUAUAAUGGGUCAGCGACUUAUAUUCUGUAGCAAGGUUAACCGUAUAGGGGAGCCGAAGGGAAACCGAGUCUUAACUGGGCGUUAAGUUGCAGGGUAUAGACCCGAAACCCGGUGAUCUAGCCAUGGGCAGGUUGAAGGUUGGGUAACACUAACUGGAGGACCGAACCGACUAAUGUUGAAAAAUUAGCGGAUGACCUGUGGCUGGGGGUGAAAGGCCAAUCAAACCGGGAGAUAGCUGGUUCUCCCCGAAAGCUAUUUAGGUAGCGCCUCGUGAACUCAUCUUCGGGGGUAGAGCACUGUUUCGGCUAGGGGGCCAUCCCGGCUUACCAACCCGAUGCAAACUACGAAUACCGAAGAAUGUUAUCACGGGAGACACACGGCGGGUGCUAACGUCCGUCGUGAAGAGGGAAACAACCCAGACCGCCAGCUAAGGUCCCAAAGUCAUGGUUAAGUGGGAAACGAUGUGGGAAGGCACAGACAGCCAGGAUGUUGGCUUAGAAGCAGCCAUCAUUUAAAGAAAGCGUAAUAGCUCACUGGUCGAGUCGGCCUGCGCGGAAGAUGUAACGGGGCUAAACCAUGCACCGAAGCUGCGGCAGCGACACUAUGUGUUGUUGGGUAGGGGAGCGUUCUGUAAGCCGUUGAAGGUGUGCUGUGAGGCAUGCUGGAGGUAUCAGAAGUGCGAAUGCUGACAUAAGUAACGAUAAAGCGGGUGAAAAGCCCGCUCGCCGGAAGACCAAGGGUUCCUGUCCAACGUUAAUCGGGGCAGGGUGAGUCGACCCCUAAGGCGAGGCCGAAAGGCGUAGUCGAUGGGAAACAGGUUAAUAUUCCUGUACUUGGUGUUACUGCGAAGGGGGGACGGAGAAGGCUAUGUCAGCCGGGCGACGGUUGUCCCGGUUUAAGCAUGUAGGCGGAGGUUCCAGGUAAAUCCGGUACCUUUUAACGCUGAGGUGUGAUGACGAGGCACUACGGUGCUGAAGUGAUAAAUGCCCUGCUUCCAGGAAAAGCCUCUAAGCAUCAGGUAACAUCAAAUCGUACCCCAAACCGACACAGGUGGUCAGGUAGAGAAUACCAAGGCGCUUGAGAGAACUCGGGUGAAGGAACUAGGCAAAAUGGUGCCGUAACUUCGGGAGAAGGCACGCUGAUGUGUAGGUGAAGCCCCUGCGGGCGGAGCUGAAAUCAGUCGAAGAUACCAGCUGGCUGCAACUGUUUAUUAAAAACACAGCACUGUGCAAACACGAAAGUGGACGUAUACGGUGUGACGCCUGCCCGGUGCCGGAAGGUUAAUUGAUGGGGUUAGCGGCAACGCGAAGCUCUUGAUCGAAGCCCCGGUAAACGGCGGCCGUAACUAUAACGGUCCUAAGGUAGCGAAAUUCCUUGUCGGGUAAGUUCCGACCUGCACGAAUGGCGUAAUGAUGGCCAGGCUGUCUCCACCCGAGACUCAGUGAAAUUGAACUCGCUGUGAAGAUGCAGUGUACCCGCGGCAAGACGGAAAGACCCCGUGAACCUUUACUAUAGCUUGACACUGAACACUGGUCCUUGAUGUGUAGGAUAGGUGGGAGGCUUUGAAGCGUGGACGCCAGUCUGCGUGGAGCCGACCUUGAAAUACCACCCUUUAAUGGCUGGUGUUCUAACGUAGACCCGUAAUCCGGGUUGCGGACAGUGUCUGGUGGGUAGUUUGACUGGGGCGGUCUCCUCCCAAAGAGUAACGGAGGAGCACGAAGGUUGGCUAAUCCUGGUCGGACAUCAGGAGGUUAGUGCAAUGGCAUAAGCCAGCUUGACUGCGAGCGUGACGGCGCGAGCAGGUGCGAAAGCAGGUCAUAGUGAUCCGGUGGUUCUGAAUGGAAGGGCCAUCGCUCAACGGAUAAAAGGUACUCCGGGGAUAACAGGCUGAUACCGCCCAAGAGUUCAUAUCGACGGCGGUGUUUGGCACCUCGAUGUCGGCUCAUCACAUCCUGGGGCUGAAGUAGGUCCCAAGGGUAUGGCUGUUCGCCAUUUAAAGUGGUACGCGAGCUGGGUUUAGAACGUCGUGAGACAGUUCGGUCCCUAUCUGCCGUGGGCGCUGGAGAAUUGAGGGGGGCUGCUCCUAGUACGAGAGGACCGGAGUGGACGCAUCACUGGUGUUCGGGUUGUCAUGCCAAUGGCACUGCCCGGUAGCUAAAUGCGGAAGAGAUAAGUGCUGAAAGCAUCUAAGCACGAAACUUGCCCCGAGAUGAGUUCUCCCUGAGACUUUAAGUCUCCUGAAGGAACGUUGAAGACGACGACGUUGAUAGGUCGGGUGUGUAAGCGCAGCGAUGCGUUGAGCUAACCGAUACUAAUGAACCGUGAGGCUUAACCUUACAACGCCGAAGGUGUUU